CCUACGGGAGGCAGCAGUAGGGAAUAUUGCUCAAUGGAGGAAACCCUGAAGCAGCAACGCCGCGUGGAGGAUGAAGGUUUUCGGAUUGUAAACUCCUUUUGUUAGAGAAGAUAAUGACGGUAUCUAACGAAUAAGCACCGGCUAACUCCGUGCCAGCAGCCGCGGUAAUACGGAGGAUGCAAGCGUUACUCGGAAUCACUGGGCGUAAAGAGCGCGUAGGUGGGAUAGCAAGUCAGAUGUGAAAUCCGAUGGCUUAACCAUAGAACUGCAUUUGAAACUGUUGAUCUAGAGUAUGGGUGAGGUAGGUGGAAUGCAUGGUGUAGGGGUAAAAUCCGUAGAGAUCAAGAGGAAUACUCAUUGCGAAGGCGACCUGCUAAAACAUAACUGACGCUGAUGCGCGAAAGCGUGGGGAGCAAACAGGAUUAGAUACCCUGGUAGUC
rnacentral:rRNA from 1 species